GCUGGGAGCAGCUGGGUGCACCUGCAGUCCAGCUGCUCAGGAGCCUGAGGCAGGAGGACCCCUCGAGCCCAGGAGGUCUAGGCAGCCUGGGCAACAGCCCAGACCUGUCUCCU
rnacentral:sRNA from 1 species